rnacentral:rRNA from 1 species
CACUUUGUGGUUCAUGACUGGGGUGAAGUCGUAACAAGGUAGCGCUAGGGGAACCUGGCGCUGGAUCACCUCCUUACACGAAGAU